UACGUAGGGUGCAAGCGUUGUCCGGAAUUAUUGGGCGUAAAGAGCUUGUAGGCGGUUUGUCGCGUCGGCUGUGAAAACUCGGGGCUCAACUCCGAGCCUGCAGUCGAUACGGGCAGACUAGAGUGCUGUAGGGGAGACUGGAAUUCCUGGUGUAGCGGUGAAAUGCGCAGAUAUCAGGAGGAACACCGGUGGCGAAGGCGGGUCUCUGGGCAAUAACUGACGCUGAGGAGCGAAAGCGUGGGGAGCGAACAGG
rnacentral:rRNA from 1 species